GCUGGACGCGAUGGCUCACGCCUGUAAUCCCAGCACUUUGGGAGGCCGAGGCAGGCGGAUCAUGAGGUCGGGAGAUCGAGACCAUCCUGGCUGACAUGGUGAAACCCAGUCUCUGUUAAAAAUACAAUAAAAAUUAGCUAGGCAUGGUGGCAGGUGCCUGUAGUCCCAGCUACUCAGGAGGCUGANNNNNNNNNNGGCUAAUUUUUUGUGUUUUUAGUAGAGACGGGGUUUCACCGUGUUAGCCAGGAUGGUCUUGAUCUCCUGACCUCGUGAUCCACCCGCCUCGGC
rnacentral:SRP_RNA from 1 species